ACGGUCCUAAGGUAGCGAAAUUCCUUGUCGGGUAAGUUCCGACCCGCACGAAAGGUGUAACGAUUUGGGCACUGUCUCAACGAGGGACCCGGUGAAAUUGAAAUACCUGUGAAGAUGCAGGUUACCCGCGACUGGACAGAAAGACCCCAUGGAGCUUUACUGUAACCUGACAUUGGGUUUUGAUACAUUACGUACAGGAUAGGUGGGAGGCAUGGAAAGCUGGACGCUAGUCUGGCUGGAGCCGACGUUGGGAUACCACCCUUGAUACAACGGAAUUCUAACCGAGAGAGUAACGAAAUCCGGGACAGUGUCAGGCGGGCAGUUUGACUGGGGCGGUCGCCUCCGAAAGAGUAACGGAGGCGCCCAAAGGUUCCCUCAGCGCGGCCGGAAAUCGCGCGAAGAGUGUAAAGGCAGAAGGGAGCUUGACUGCGAGUCAAACACGACGAGCAGGUACGAAAGUAGGGCUUAGUGAUCCGGUGGUACCGAGUGGAAGGGCCAUCGCUCAACGGAUAAAAGCUACCCUGGGGAUAACAGGCUAAUCUCUCCCAAGAGUCCAUAUCGACGGGGAGGUUUGGCACCUCGAUGUCGGCUCAUCACAUCCUGGGGCUGAAGUCGGUCCCAAGGGUUGGGCUGUUCGCCCAUUAAAGUGGUACGUGAGCUGGGUUCAGAACGUCGUGAGACAGUUCGGUCCCUAUCCAUCGCGGGCGCAAGAGAUUUGAAGGGGGCUGCUCCUAGUACGAGAGGACCGGAGUGGACGAACCGCUGGUGUACCAAUUAUCCCGCCAGGGGUACAGUUGGGUAGCUACGUUCGGAAAGGAUAAACGCUGAAAGCAUCUAAGCGUGAAACCAGCCUUAAGAUGAGAUCUCUCAUAGAGCAAUCUAGUAAGACACCUUAAAGAAGAUGAGGUUGAUAGGUCGGGAGUGUAAGUACAGCAAUGUAUUGAGCGGACCGAUACUAAUAUGUCGAGGGCUUGACUUA
rnacentral:rRNA from 1 species